AGUCACUGACAUUAGAUACCCGUGUAGUCCAGGGUGUAAACGCUGCAGACUUGGUGUUGGGAACCCUUCGGGGGUGCUCAGUGCCGGAGAGAAGUUGUUAAGUCUGCUACUUGGGGAGUACGUCCGCAAGGAUGAAACUUAAAGGAAUUGGCGGGGGAGCACCGCAACGGGAGGAGCGUGCGGUUUAAUUGGAUUCAACGCCGAAAAACUCACCAGCAGCGACUGUUACAUGAAAGUCAGGUUGAUGACCUUACUAGAUCUUCAG
rnacentral:rRNA from 1 species